rnacentral:rRNA from 1 species
UUUAAAUCCUUUAAGAAGGAUCCAUUGGAGGGCAAGUCUGGUGCCAGCAGCCGCGGUAAUUCCAGCUCCAAUAGCGUAUAUUAAAGUUGCUGCAGUUAAAAAGCUCGUAGUUGGAUCUCAGUUACGGGCAGGUGGUUCACUUUACAGUGUUACUACCUGAACCGAACCUAUUGCUGGAUCUCUUGGGUGCCCUUCACUGGGUGCCCCUUGAGACCAGAGCGUUUACUUUGAGAAAAUUAGAGUGCUCAAAGCAGGCGAAUGCCUGAAUAGUUGUGCAUGGAAUAAUGAAAUAUGGCCUCGGUACUGUUUUGUUGGUUCACGGUGCUCGAGGUAAUGGUUGAAAGGGACUGACGGGGGCAUUCGUAUUGCGACGUUAGAGGUGAAAUUCUUAGAUCGUCGCAAGACGGACUACUGCGAAAGCAUUUGCCAAGAAUGUCUUCAUUAAUCAAGAACGAAAGUCAGAGGUUCGAAGGCGAUCAGAUACCGCCCUAGUUCUGACCUUAAACGAUGCUAACUGGCGAUCCA